GCCAGUAGUCAUAUGCUUGUCUCAAAGAUUAAGCCAUGCAUGUCUCAGUACAAGCCAAAUUAAGGUGAAACCGCGAAAGGCUCAUUAAAUCAGUUAUGGUUCCUUAGAUCGUUCCCACAUUUCCUUGGAUAACUGUGGUAAUUCUAGAGCUAAUACAUGCAAACAGAGCUCCGACCGGAAACGGAAGGAGCGCUUUUAUUAGAUCAAAACCAAUCGGUGGCGGGCCCGCUCGUCAUCGUACAAUUUGGUGAAACUGAAUAACUUUAAGCUGAUCGCACGGUCUCGUACCGGCGACGCAUCUUUCAAAUGUCUGACUUAUCAACUGUCGAUGGUAGGUUCUGCGCCUACCAUGGUUGUAACGGGUAACGGGGAAUCAGGGUUCGAUUCCGGAGAGGGAGCCUGAGAAACGGCUACCACAUCCAAGGAAGGCAGCAGGCGCGCAAAUUACCCACUCCCGGCACGGGGAGGUAGUGACGAAAAAUAACGAUACGGGACUCAUCCGAGGCCCCGUAAUCGGAAUGAGUACACUCUAAACCCUUUAACGAGGAUCAAUUGGAGGGCAAGUCUGGUGCCAGCAGCCGCGGUAAUUCCAGCUCCAAUAGCGUAUAUUAAAGUUGUUGCGGUUAAAAAGCUCGUAGUCGAAUUUGUGUCUCGCGCCGCCGGUUCAUCGUUCGCGGUGUCAACUGGCGUGCCGCGAGACGUCCUGCCGGCGGGCCUGCUCGUAAAAGGGCGGCCCAAUUCAAUCCCGCCGCGGUGCUCUUCGUUGAGUGUCGAGGUGGGCCGGCACGUUUACUUUGAACAAAUUAGAGUGCUUAAAGCAGGCUAAAACUUCGCCUGAAUAAUGAGUGCAUGGAAUAAUGAAACAGGACCUCGGUUCUAUUUUGUUGGUUUUCGGAACCCCGAGGUAAUGAUUAACAGGAACGGAUGGGGGCAUUCGUAUUGCGACGUUAGAGGUGAAAUUCUUGGAUCGUCGCAAGACGGACAGAAGCGAAAGCAUUUGCCAAAAACGUUUUCAUUGAUCAAGAACGAAAGUUAGAGGUUCGAAGGCGAUCAGAUACCGCCCUAGUUCUAACCAUAAACGAUGCCAGCUAGCGAUCCGCCGACGUUCCUCCGAUGACUCGGCGGGCAGCUUCCGGGAAACCAAAGCUUUUGGGUUCCGGGGGAAGUAUGGUUGCAAAGCUGAAACUUAAAGGAAUUGACGGAAGGGCACCACCAGGAGUGGAGCCUGCGGCUUAAUUUGACUCAACACGGGAAACCUCACCAGGCCCAGACACCGGAAGGAUUGACAGAUUGAGAGCUCUUUCUUGAUUCGGUGGGUGGUGGUGCAUGGCCGUUCUUAGUUGGUGGAGCGAUUUGUCUGGUUAAUUCCGAUAACGAACGAGACUCUAGCCUGCUAACUAGGCGUAUUAGACAUCCUAAAGGACCGCC
rnacentral:rRNA from 1 species